AUGGCCUUGUCUUUUCAGGCCGCCUGGAGAUCGCCGAAUCUCCGAUACCCGACCUCCAAUUCGGACAUAUUGUAAAUCAGCUGCGGACAAUAAAACCGACCAUCAGAAGACCGAACUUAUGAAAGGCAAUGACGAAAACGAAAAGUAAAGGGAGGAGACUUACCCGAAUCACGGUCGGGUAAAAGGAAGACAGCAUGUCAGAUACCCUCUGGUUCUUCAUGACCUCGU
rnacentral:lncRNA from 1 species